UUUUGGAUAGCUUAAAGCAUAAAAUUUUUACUUUUACUAUACAUUUUUAAUGUUUCAAAAA
rnacentral:tRNA from 1 species